ACCUGUUUUCCAUGUCUGCAUUUUCACAUCUCAAAGUGAUAUUUGAGUCAAUUUCAGGGCCUGUAAAGAAGUUUAAUCAGUAAUUCAGCUUCUACCAGGUUCUGACUGUGAGCCUCAAUUACACAUACAGUCGGGGAAGAUGGCCCCACCCCUCCCUGAGCCUGGUUCUGCUGGAGGUUUCUUCCUGUUAAAAGGGAGUUUUUCCUUCCCACUGUCGCCAAAGUGCUGCUCAUAGGGGGUCACAUGAUUGUUGGAUUUUUCUCUGUAUGUAGUAUUGGAUUGUCUACCUUAGAAGAGGAAAGCAGUUCACCAUGGAUAAGCUGGUCUCCGAACUUUUCGGCCUCUGCCCAACCAUCAUCGAGAUGUAUGACAAUAUGAAGGACAAUGACGAACGCUGCAGGCGGAUUGCUGACAGGGUCAGAGCUUUGGAGGGACUGGUUUUAACCGUCAAAGAAAGGGGAUCAGGCAGAAACUCUGGCGCUGUGGAGAAAGCGCUGAAGGAACUCCACACCAUCUUGAAACAUGCUGAGAAACUGGUGUCAAAAUUCUCAAAAAAUAAUCGGCUUAAGCAGUUCAUGAUGUCAGGCAGCAUUGGAGCAAAGUUCAGCGAGGUGAACCAAAGACUCACUGAGAACUUCCAGAUGCUUUCUGGAGCUCUGCAGGUUGAGCAGAGCGACAUACUGCACAAGGUGUAUGAAACUGUUUUAGGGCGCCCCUACACACCGCUGCCUAACCCCCCAUGUCCUACGUUUUCCCCAGCAGCACCGCCUAUCCCCUCUCCUCCCGUGCCUGCCGCCUACAUCAUGGCACCCAUGCGGGCUUCGACGCCUGUUCUGGCCCAGCCUUUCUGCAAAACUACAACAGUUCGCGUUCUUGUCUCCAAUAACAUGCCCCCGAUGCCCGUCAUUAGGACCAUCAGCCCUGUUUCUGUCGUCAGAACUGUUUCACCGAUGGGUUUUCGGCUCUACUAGUUUGGCCAGUCGCUUUGCAUGAUUUGUGAUCAAUAAUAAUCCCUAUUUAAUCCUCAUGGGCCUUCAUUCCUCCUGGAAGGUCUUCUUGACUGGGAAGCUGUGAAGGUAACUUUCAUUCUCGAGAAAUUCUUUUGUAAAAGAAAUACUACUUUUUUUCACGAUUAAAUAGAUUUGAGAGGGAUUCAAAAACAAACAAUUUUAAUAAAGUUUUGUGAAACAAUGAAAUUAUUCCUUGCUGAAAUGAGUGCACACAUAUUUAUUCUCUUUCACAUUGUUAUGUAAUUUGUGUCCUCUUGUCCUAGUGCUAAAUGAAUCUCUAAUAAAUCAAGGAGCCUAUGUGUGUCUGUGUGGUUUUCAUCUAAUUUAACAAUCGUUCAUCUGAUCUGCUUCAAACUGUGCAGUCUGAGGAUGCAGCGUGGUGAUCAACAGUCAUGUCAUGGUCCUGCGGCCAUGACUCAGUGACUUUGUGUUUAUGUUCUUUAUUGUUAUUAUUCUCUUUAUUAUUCUUGGGCUGUUUUGGGAUGGUUUGUGUUUUGGGAUUUUAGAUACUGGGUUUUGGGUUUGUGCUCCCUCUGUUGGUCCCUGGUGUUAGUGUUCCCCUGUCUCGUCAGGUUAAUCAGGUCCAGCUGUUUCCCCCACCUGUGUGUGAUUUCCCAGUGUCUCUUUGUGUACUUAUAGUGUGUGUUUUCCUCUGCUCCUCGUCGCGUCGUCUGUGUUCAUACCCUGUGAAAUCCCCUGCGUGCUCUCCCUGCUGUUCUCCCU
ensembl:lncRNA